rnacentral:tmRNA from 1 species
GGGGGCGUCACGGUCUCGACGUGUCUGGUGAACGCGGAGUAGCGUGCCGAGGACCCGAUCCUCGUUAAUCCUUGGGAAAAUUCAUAGCUGCCAACAACAACAUGGCGCUGGCCGCGUAAGCUUCGCUUACUGGCCCGUCUCCUGGUUCGCCCGCCCGAGGCGUUCCUUGAGAUGUCGAUAAAUCGGGCUGGUCCCCGGGCUGUGCCGCCGAGUUCGGGGACGAGACUCUAGGUGGCUGGUCGUGGGGUCGGUCGGUCGCUGACCGCCCGCGGCGAGACUAACAGCGAUCUACGCACGUAGCGGCUCUGCUGGAUCCUUUCGCGGACGCGGGUUCGACUCCCGCCGCCUCCAUCA